GGGGGGUGCAAGCGUUGUUCGGAUUUAUUGGGCGUAAAGCGCGUGUAGGCGGUUUUUUAAGUCUGAUGUGAAAGCCCUGGGCUCAACCCGGGAAGUGCAUUGGAUACUGGAAGACUUGAAUACGGGAGAGGGCAGUGGAAUUCCUAGUGUAGGAGUGAAAUCCGUAGAUAUUAGGAGGAACACCGGUGGCGAAGGCGGCUGCCUGGACCGAUAUUGACGCUGAGACGCGAAAGCGUGGGUAGCAAACAGGAUUAGAUACCCUGGUAGUCCACGCCGUAAACGAUGAGAACUAGGUGUUGCGGGUAUUGACCCCUGCAGUGCCGUAGCUAACGCAUUAAGUUCUCCGCCUGGGAAGUACGGUCGCAAGACUA
rnacentral:rRNA from 1 species